rnacentral:sRNA from 1 species
CGGUUUAGUUCACAGACAUAAUAAAGCGGUUUAGUAAAGCAGUACUCAUCUCAAGUGUUAUCCAUAGAUAAUUCUUCCUUGUUGAGCCUCCUUAUCGUUAUUAAUUAAAUUCUGUGCGAAACCUUUUCGCCGUAUGGCUCUGUAUAUAAUGAGGAAUUACCUAUGUCUAACAAAAUGACUGGUUUAGUAAAAUGGUUUAAUGAGUCCAAAGGAUUUGGCUUUAUUACCCCGGAUAAUGGUAGCAAGGAUGUGUUUGUUCACUUCUCUGCCAUCCAGAGCGGCGGCUUUAAGACCCUUAAUGAAGGGCAAAAAGUCGAGUUUACGAUUGAAAACGGGCAGAAAGGUCCAUCUGCAGGGAAUGUCUUCGCGAUUUAACGCUUAGCUUAACU